rnacentral:rRNA from 1 species
GACGAACGCUGGCGGCGUGCCUAAUACAUGCAAGUAGAACGCACAGUUUAUACCGUAGCUUGCUACACCAUAAACUGUGAGUUGCGAACGGGUGAGUAACGCGUAGGUAACCUGCCUGGUAGCGGGGGAUAACUAUUGGAAACGAUAGCUAAUACCGCAUAAUAUUGAUUAUUGCAUGAUAAUUGAUUGAAAGAUGCUAUUGCAUCACUACCAGAUGGACCUGCGUUGUAUUAGCUAGUAGGUGAGGUAACGGCUCACCUAGGCGACGAUACAUAACCGACCUGAGAGGGUGAUCGGCCACACUGGGACUGAGACACGGCCCAGACUCCUACGGGAGGCAGCAGUAGGGAAUCUUCGGCAAUGGACGAAAGUCUGACCGAGCAACGCCGCGUGAGUGAAGAAGGUUUUCGGAUCGUAAAGCUCUGUUGUAAGAGAAGAACGGGUGUGAGAGUGGAAAGUUCACACUGUGACGGUAUCUUACCAGAAAGGGACGGCUAACUACGUG